AUUGAACGCCGGCGGCAGGCUAACACAUGCAAGUCGAGCGGAGUGAUGGUGCUUGCACUAUCACUUAGCGGCGGACGGGUGAGUAAUGCUUAGGAAUCUGCCUAUUAGUGGGGGACAACAUCUCGAAAGGGAUGCUAAUACCGCAUACGUCCUACGGGAGAAAGCAGGGGAUCACUUGUGACCUUGCGCUAAUAGAUGAGCCUAAGUCGGAUUAGCUAGUUGGUGGGGUAAAGGCCUACCAAGGCGACGAUCUGUAGCGGGUCUGAGAGGAUGAUCCGCCACACUGGGACUGAGACACGGCCCAGACUCCUACGGGAGGCAGCAGUGGGGAAUAUUGGACAAUGGGGGGAACCCUGAUCCAGCCAUGCCGCGUGUGUGAAGAAGGCCUUAUGGUUGUAAAGCACUUUAAGCGAGGAGGAGGCUCUUUUGGUUAAUACCCAAGAUGAGUGGACGUUACUCGCAGAAUAAGCACCGGCUAACUCUGUGCCAGCCGCCGCAGUAA
rnacentral:rRNA from 1 species